GCCUAGGAAUCUGCCUGGUAGUGGGGGACAACGUUUCGAAAGGAACGCUAAUACCGCAUACGUCCUACGGGAGAAAGCAGGGGACCUUCGGGCCUUGCGCUAUCAGAUGAGCCUAGGUCGGAUUAGCUAGUUGGUGAGGUAAUGGCUCACCAAGGCGACGAUCCGUAACUGGUCUGAGAGGAUGAUCAGUCACACUGGAACUGAGACACGGUCCAGACUCCUACGGGAGGCAGCAGUGGGGAAUAUUGGACAAUGGGCGAAAGCCUGAUCCAGCCAUGCCGCGUGUGUGAAGAAGGUCUU
rnacentral:rRNA from 1 species